ensembl:lncRNA
UAAAUAAAUAUUAUUAGUAUAAUUAUCAUACAUCAUCUGUACUCUACACCACUCCUAUUUGUGAUGGGAGUGUCCAGAAGUGACUCUAUUUUUAAAGACCUUGUAAUGACUGAUCAGCCUCACAGCUGGUGGUGCAAUAGGGUCCCUUUAUCUCCCUGAGGUCAGACCUGUCAGGGUUGGCUGUGUAUCCUGGUGGGGGACAGGAAGCUCCUGGCUGGUGUUCCCGGCAGCGUUGGAGCUGUGGCAGGUCAAGGCUGUCAGACCAGCAGAGAAGCCCCUGACUGCAGCCCGCAGACGGAGCCCACAUGGAGGGGGCGGGCACUCAGUCCACAUGGAGGGGGCCGGCCCUCCGCCCACAUGGAGGGGGCGGGCACUCAGUCCACAUGGAGGGGGCCGGCACUCCGCCCACAUGGAGGGGGCGGAUACUCAUGCUGCGUUCGAGUAUUCUCUGCGAACCGACUCGGAUCUCGGAUCUGACGCCACGCCCGUCCACAUCGAGGGGGCGGCCACUCAGUUCACAUUGAGGACUGGUCAAACAGCAUGUGCAGCAUCUGAUCCCGUUUCUGACCUGAAAUUAGCUGAAAUGUACCUGAAAUUACCUGAAAUUAGAGUGUGCCCGCCCGAGCUAGUGAUGCCUAAAACAUGCAAAGACACGUCAGUGUAAUUGUGAAUGGCGAGAGCCCUGAAAUACAGCUGGACAGCAGCGGUCUACAUCACUGCCCCUUCUGCAGAUACAAAGGGUCAAAAUGUGAUAUCGACCAUCACAUUAAAUGCCAUGCCUCGGUUAAAUACAGAGGUACAUUUUCUUAUUUUUUUAUUAUUAUUAUUUAUAUUAUUAUUGUUAUUAUAUAUUUGUAUGUAUGUAAUGUAUGCCGUUUACUCACCAAGGUCUGCAGAGGAGCUUUCAGGAAGCAGGAAGAGAAGACGGGAGGAAAAAAAAGCUACAGGAUAAAGAUCUCUGCACAAAAAGGGCUAGAGUUGCUCCAACAGCAUCCAGCUCUGAAGGAUCAGGUCAUGUAUAGACUGUUAAUCCAGACAAAACUGAAGACCAGGAACUGGAACCUGGGAACCUGGAAGAUUAUGUUGUCCUGAAGGACACAAUUCAGGCAGCAGCAUGGUGCCAGUUACAGUCCUUCAAGGACAGCGUUUCUCUCCCAGAGGUCAUUGGGAUGGAAGGUUGGGAGCAGAUGGCAGCAUCAACACAGCGCAAAUCCCAUGACGGCGGGGAUGAGGAAGAAACGUGGAAACCAUUCCAAUUCUCAUUCAGAUUACAUACUGACUAUGAACUGUUCUGUGUGGAGAGGAUGGACAGGAGAAACCUGAAGGUGUUUGCCUCUUUUGAGUCAAACACCUCUCCCCCUCCCCGUCCCCCCUCCCCGUCCCCCUCCCCGUGACGCCUGCGCCACACGACUCCAAUGUAGUCUGAUGAUGCAGCAUAAUGGCGGCGCUUGGCAGCUAUGGCGGCGGUGACGGCGAUGUCGUGCGACAGAGCGUGAAGCAAGAGUGGCAUCCACCUCACUGAGGAAGGCGUCAGUGUGUUCCCCCUUUGUUGUUUGACUUUGUUUGUUCUACUCUUUAUUGAUUUAUCUUUUAUGUUUAUAGUUUACAAUCUAUUUUUUGUAGUUGUUAUUUUUUAAUUGUUUUGUUGAAUAAAAAGACAGUUGUUAGUGCUCCUGUGAUUGGUGUAACUUAAUGUGCUUCACACAUGUAGCUUUUCAUUAUGUCUAUUGAGGUAAAUUUUUUGCCCUUAGAUGUGGUCACUUCGUUAUUCCUCACAUUACAUCUGUUAAGGCCAUACCUUUGGGUCCCAGUCUUCAUAGUUCCCCAAAUCUUAUUUUGGCUCUUA